rnacentral:rRNA from 1 species
AGACAGGUGCUGCAUGGCUGUCGUCAGCUCGUGUUGUGAAAUGUUGGGUUAAGUCCCGCAACGAGCGCAACCCUUAUCCUUUGUUGCCAGCGGUCCGGCCGGGAACUCAAAGGAGACUGCCAGUGAUAAACUGGAGGAAGGUGGGGAUGACGUCAAGUCAUCAUGGCCCUUACGAGUAGGGCUACACACGUGCUACAAUGGCGCAUACAAAGAGAAGCGACCUCGCGAGAGCAAGCGGACCUCAUAAAGUGCGUCGUAGUCCGGAUUGGAGUCUGCAACUCGACUCCAUGAAGUCGGAAUCGCUAGUAAUCGUGGAUCAGAAUGCCACGGUGAAUACGUUCCCGGGCCUUGUACACACCGCCCGUCACACCAUGGGAGUGGGUUGCAAAAGAAGUAGGUAGCUUAACCUUCGGGAGGGCGCUUACCACUUUGUGAUUCAUGACUGGGGUGAAGUCGUAACAAGGUAACCGUAGGGGAACCUGCGGUUGGAUCACCUCCUUA